UCCGGCCAUAUCAUGUUGAAACAUUGGUUCUCGUACGAUCACCUAAGUUAAACAACGUCGAGAUUGGUCGGUACUUAGAUGGGUGACCGCUUGGGAAUAUCGGGUACUGCAGA